UACGUAGGGUGCGAGCGUUAAUCGGAAUUACUGGGCGUAAAGCGUGCGCAGGCGGUUCGCCAAGUCAGGUGUGAAAUCCCCGGGCUUAACCUGGGAAUUGCGCUUGAAACUAGCGGGCUUGAGUGUGGCAGAGGGGGGUGGAAUUCCGCGUGUAGCAGUGAAAUGCGUAGAGAUGCGGAGGAACACCGAUGGCGAAGGCAGCCCCCCUGGGCCAACACUGACGCUGGAGGCGCGAAAGCGUGGGGAGCAAACAGG
rnacentral:rRNA from 1 species